GUGGGGAAUCUUGCGCAAUGGGCGAAAGCCUGACGCAGCCAUGCCGCGUGAAUGAUGAAGGUCUUAGGAUUGUAAAAUUCUUUCACCGGGGACGAUAAUGACGGUACCCGGAGAAGAAGCUCCGGCUAACUUCGUGCCAGCAGCCGCGGUAAUACGAAGGGGGCUAGCGUUGCUCGGAAUUACUGGGCGUAAAGGGCGCGUAGGCGGACAGCUUAGUCAGAGGUGAAAGCCCAGGGCUCAACCUUGGAAUUGCAUUUGAUACUGGCUGUCUUGAGUUUGGGAGAGGUGAGUGGAACUCCGAGUGUAGAGGUGAAAUUCGUAGAUAUUCGGAAGAACACCAGUGGCGAAGGCGACUCACUGGCCCGUUACUGACGCUGAGGCGCGAAAGCGUGGGGAGCAAACAGGAUUAGAAACCCCAGUAGUCC
rnacentral:rRNA from 1 species